GACGAACGCUGGCGGCGUGCCUAAUACAUGCAAGUCGAACGCACUCUCGUUUAGAUUGAAGGAGCUUGCUCCUGAUUGAUAAACAUUUGAGUGAGUGGCGGACGGGUGAGUAACACGUGGGUAACCUGCCCUAAAGUGGGGGAUAACAUUUGGAAACAGAUGCUAAUACCGCAUAAAACCUAACACCGCAUGGUGUAGGGUUGAAAGAUGGUUUCGGCUAUCACUUUAGGAUGGACCCGCGGUGCAUUAGUUAGUUGGUGAGGUAAAGGCUCACCAAGACCGUGAUGCAUAGCCGACCUGAGAGGGUAAUCGGCCACACUGGGACUGAGACACGGCCCAGACUCCUACGGGAGGCAGCAGUAGGGAAUCUUCCACAAUGGACGAAAGUCUGAUGGAGCAACGCCGCGUGAGUGAAGAAGGUUUUCGGAUCGUAAAACUCUGUUGUUGGAGAAGAAUGUAUCUGAUAGUAACUGAUCAGGUAGUGACGGUAUCCAACCAGAAAGCC
rnacentral:rRNA from 1 species